AAUACCAGACAGGAAAUAUUUUUAAUGACAAAGUUGUAACAGGCAGUGACAGGGGCAGGUGUCACUUUUAGGUAACCCGAUCUAUGGAAGAGUCAGAGGCAAGUGAUGCAAAGCAAUAGAGAACCUCCAUACAGAGGUAGAGUUCUUAUUACUACGGUCAUCUCUAAAGGUGUGUGUGAAGGAUAAUGGGAUAUGUAGUCUCUGCAGGUGAGGGAGCAGAGUACACGGACUUAGUGAGGCAAUAAAAGAAAGACCUUCGUUGAUAACGAUCUGAACGAACGAAGUGUGUGUCAGUUGAGCAGUAGUGAGGAAAGAUGGAGACAGAGGUACCAACAUCCUAAUAAUAACAGCAUACUUCCUGAUCAUGGACAAACUGAGCUCCAAAUUAAAAAACAUGAUUCGAGUGAGGAAAUAUGGAAUCAAAUUUACACAAGACAAGACCGUAUUUUGCGGGUAGAUGGAGAGCACUGUGUGGUACGAAACGAGGUAAAGAGCUGUGGAGGUCUGCAUGGCGCUCAUGGCAGAAAUACAAGAAAUACAAUUAAAAUAUACGCAGUGUCCAUGAAGGCAGCACGGAUGUUCGUUGCGUUUCGGUGCUGAGGUGUUUCAUUUGAGCGAGCCGCAGCCGCUGGGCUCGCGCAGGCGCUGAGCUCACCGAGAGAGUAACUGUGGCACUCGUAUACAAAGCCACAGCUCGACCUGACACAUUUACCUGCAUGGGAGACGUCACGACUUCAAAAAUGAGCAGUUUGGCCGCGUCCAAGGAAACAUACGCGGAUAGAACCAGCUCUGAACCUGUGGAGGACACAGACACCACCAGCUUUGUGACAGAGUUUUCCUUGGAGGCCAAUUAUCCUGUGCAAGUGACAGAUCCUCAUGCAGAUGCUGUGACCCUCCACCUGAGCUCCAUGCCUUCAGAAUUCCUGAGCCCCUCCUCAAACAGAAUCAAACAGGUCAGUUUAGCCACAAAAAUAUUUAAAAGAAUAUACAGUAGUUACAUUAGGGUCUGUGGUCGGGGAGUAGAUUUGUAACUCUUUGUAAGUUUGUGCUUUCACUAGAGCUCCAAUCCAAUAGAGUGAAAACAGAACAAUUCCAGAACUCACAUAAGUUGUUAAGUUGACAUUCCAUUUUGAAUUACUUUCUGUAAGUUGAGUCAUGUCAUCUGAACUUAUAUAAAUUCUCAAUAUAUCAUCUAUAAAACUACAUCUUUUUUUUUUAAGAAGACAGUUGACAUGACUCAAUUUCAGACAGCCUCACCCUGAUGACUGACAAUUCAGAAACAUUUUAAAUGACUGUUGAGAACCAGCCAGCUUCACAGGGGCCUUGUUGAUUCAUAUUUAUAAGCUGCUUCACAAAUUAUCAUCCAAAGGACGAACGCACGCAGGUAAAUGCUUUUCGGUCAAGCAGCAGCUUUACCGUCAACUUCACUGUAAACACUGUAUCAAUCACACAUUUAAUUUAUAGUGACAGCGGAUUUGACCAAGGAAAUGUGCUCAAUAGCUAGCACGCUGGUUUGAUCCCCUUCUAUGUUACUAGGUGUGACACUCCACGAUUUCCUUUUCACCUAUCCCCCACAAGAAAACAGUGGGGGAUAGGUAAAAAGGAAAUUUCCCCACUCUGGGACUAAUUAAGGUUUCUAAAUUUAAAUAUUAUAUGACACAAUAUGUGACAUACUGUAUGACACUUGAUAAAUUUUUGCCACUGUCACAUGCAUGAAAACCUAUUUCCCAAAAUUACUUUACAUGGUGGCUCCUUAUAAAUUAAAAUAAAUAAUAUACACUCUAAUUUAUUUACUUUGAA
rnacentral:lncRNA from 1 species